rnacentral:tRNA from 1 species
CACAGAGUGCCUGAUUAAAGGAUUAUUUUGAUAGAAUAAACUACACAGGGCCCCCCCCCUGUCUCUGUGA